UUAGAUGCAUUAAUUAAUCUAAGUAUUAGCUUAGAUAGGCGUCUUCGUGAACGAAGGCAUGAACGAGGCUCAGUUGAAUUCACUACAAAACGUCCCAUCACAUCUGGAGCCUCACAUUCUUACAAUAGACCAGUACCACAGUCUACUCCUGAAGCUAUGGACAUUGGCGUAAUAAGAGGUCCCUUGAACCCACAAGAAAAGCAAAGAAGAAAAAAUAACAACCUCUGCUUGUACUGUGGUGCCGCUCAACACACUGUCAAGGACUGUCCUCUUCUGAUUCGUCAAAGGAAGGUGGGAGAACCAUCGGCUAACCAGUCAAGCGAUUAUUGAUUCUGGAGCAAGCGCUAAUUAUAUUGAUUCACAUUUUGUCACUGUAAAUAAAAUUCCACUAAUUAAAAAGCAGAA